rnacentral:lncRNA from 1 species
CUACCAGCAGCUCUGCUUCUCGUCCAACGUCCUUAAGAAUACUUUCGGCCGUUGCUUUUUAGCAAACGAGGUAGCAUCAACUCACCGGAAGCCCCUACUGACCUCUUAUGCUGACUCGAUCACGUCAACUCCAUUACAUUAGCGCACUAAAUAAAUGAUAUUUGCAUUUUACAGAAGAGAUUAGUUGUUGAGUGUUAUAAAUUGCCUUUUUCUGCAUGAGGAAAACGGUCAAAAUAUAGUGGAAAUUCAAAAAAGGCACUCGGUUCUUCUUGUCAUGUAAUACAUGUAUUGAUUGACAAAUGGGCGUGUCUUCUCGAUAUUUUUUCAAGAAGCAAGAGAUAGAAAGCCUACAGAGAAACCAGCGGCCGUUCGGCAGCCGAUGGGAAGUUGAUUGGAACUAUUGCGCAGCACAGCCAAGGCACUUUCCAUCAUCUCCCUGCUUACUUGGACCUUAUGUAGUCCACUUCGACGUAACUGGAGCUCCGUACCGCCUACAGACUCUCCUGAAUCAAGCGUGAAUCCAUUGUCACCAACAAACCAUAGAAGUACAUUUUGCCCACCUCCCAAGCCAUCUCGAAAAGCAAGCUUCCGUCCAAAAAACGAUUUUUCCUCUUCCAGUGCAUCGUACAAAGUCAAGUAAAAAGCUUGUAACGGUGUCGCAGCAUCUUGUGCCACCUUCCAUUGGUUAUUAUCUUCAAGCACAGACCAUUUAAUGGAGUGACACCAUACAUUCCAAAGAUCGUCUCCCAUUAGACCGACUGAAGACUGACAUUUAGAACACAAAGAUUCUUUCCCAGUAGAUUCCAGGCUCCCUUUAGUCAACAGACUGGCCGUCAAAGCAUGGUAACAACUGCCAUAAAGGCAAUCGGUUGUACGAGGUACUAGCUUCUGAUGACUCGCCUCUCCGGCAUGCAGAUGGCAAUACCAGUCGGAUGCUGCUUCGCUCCAAGAUGCACGAGGCAAUGGCAAGACACGUUUGAAAUGAACGCGAUCCACUAGAACCGACUGGCAUUCAGCACACUGGAGGCGAUACUCUUUUCCUAUUAUCGGACAAAAGAUUUUCCCUUGGCUUUUAUAAGUGUUGGUGGAUAAGGCCGACAGGUCCAAUACUUCGACAUUUUCUGAUCCGCUUUUCAUUCCCUUUGGUACUCCAAUUGGCAUGCGAAGAUGGAUAUAAUCUCCAUCGAUUACAGGUUUGAACUUGUAAUUAUCGAGCAGCUUGAUUGAUACAGGAAACUCCAAAAGCAUUCGGGCAUUUGCUCCGUCUUCUAGACAUAUAGAAUUAUCUACCACUGAUGCUGCAUUUAAAGUUGUGUUUGGUGAAGAUAAUCUGAUAUAGAGGUUUGCAAUUCGGAGUUGAGGGUGAACUUCACAGAUAGCACUUAUUAUCUCCAUUGCUGUUAAGAGCAACGUAGUGUUGAUACUUUUCUAGCAGUGGAUCGCCUUCAGAAACGAUGAAAUCCAGUGGCGAAUCAAGAUAAUAAGAACUUUUCAAUUCAAUAUUGCGUAUAACACUUGCAAGCAGAUGAGCCCUUUCCACUUGGCAGCCUAAUACAGAAAUCAAGGAAGAAGCAUAUCAAUAAAACAGAAGAAGAAAAAAAAAACAAAAAUACGGAAAAAGGAAAACGGAAAAAAAUAAUUUUCGAGUAAAGGUAGCAUUUUACCUGGCGGAACAAAUUCCAGCGAUGUGAAGUGAACAUGCAAAUGGUAAAAUGAAGGUUGAUAAUGUAGAUAGAUCCGUUGCUGUGAUUUCUCUAAACCGUACUUCUCGGUAAUUGCGGCCUAGCACAGCAUAUUCAAACAAAAAAGAAAAGUUUCAUGGCACAUUUUCUUAAAUCUUGGAGGUAGAAAUUACCGAUCCUUUCUCAAGAAGAUUUUUCAGGAGAGGCAAAUGUUCAGAUGUUAGGUCACGAAGAGACUUGAUGUCCUUUUUGCAAACUAUGCCAGUUAGAUAAAGAUUGGAAGUUGACCGGCAAUCCCACUUCAGAUCAGGUAGUAGAAUGAAGCCAGACUCAGGAUUAAGAUCUUCAUACACAAUCCUAUCAGCUUCUUUUUUGUGUUCCAGGAUAUUGUAUACCCACUAAAAAAUAAAAUAAAUCAAUUUAGUUAACCA